UGGGGAAUAUUGGACAAUGGGCGCAAGCCUGAUCCAGCGACGCCGCGUGUGUGAAGAAGGCCUGCGGGUUGUAAAGCACUUUCGAUGGGAACGAAAUGUGCCGGGUUAAUACCCCGGUAAGCUGACGUUACUCAAUGAAGAAGCACCGGCUAACUCUGUGCCAGCAGCCGCGGUAAUACAGAGGGUGCGAGCGUUAAUCGGAAUUACUGGGCGUAAAGCGCACGUAGGUGGCGACGUAAGUCGGGUGUGAAAGCCCCGGGCUCAACCUGGGAAUUGCAUUCGAGACUGCAUUGCUGGAGUACGGAAGAGGAGGGCGGAAUUCCCGGUGUAGCGGUGAAAUGCGUAGAUAUCGGGAGGAACAUCAGUGGCGAAGGCGGCCCUCUGGUCCAGUACUGACACUCAAGUGCGAAAGCGUGGGGAGCAAACAGGAUUAGAUACCCUUGUAGUCCCUGAGCGGGC
rnacentral:rRNA from 1 species